rnacentral:rRNA from 1 species
GAUGAACGCUAGCUACAGGCUUAACACAUGCAAGUCGAGGGGAAACGAUAGAGAAAGCUUACUUUUUCUAGGCGUCGACCGGCGCACGGGUGAGUAACGCGUAUCCAACCUGCCCAUCACUUGGGGAUAACCUUGCGAAAGUAAGACUAAUACCCAAUGAUAUCUCCAGAAGACAUCUGAAGGAGAUUAAAGAUUUAUCGGUGAUGGAUGGGGAUGCGUCUGGUUAGCUUGUUGGCGGGGUAACGGCCCACCAAGGCGACGAUCAGUAGGGGUUCUGAGAGGAAGGUCCCCCACAUUGGAACUGAGACACGGUCCAAACUCCUACGGGAGGCAGCAGUGAGGAAUAUUGGUCAAUGGGCGAGAGCUUGAACCAGCCAAGUAGCGUGCAGGAUGACGGCCCUAUGGGUUGUAAACUGCUUUUAUAAGGGAAUAAAGUGAGUCUCGUGAGGCUUUUUGCAUGUACCUUAUGAAUAAGGACCGGCUAAUUCCGUGCCAGCAGCCGCAGUAA